rnacentral:ncRNA from 25 species
UCUUGAAAUAGAAGCUAUGAACUGAUGGCUGGAUUUGGUCGCUUUGCCUGGCUACGUGCUAGGCGUAAGUCAUCAGGGAGCAAAUAGCGAAACCGGCUGAGAGG